rnacentral:misc_RNA from 1 species
GGGGUAUCCUGUGGCCAUUGAUCUCUCAGCGUGCUGGUGACUGGUACCCAGCAGACCUUGGAAGCAAUGAUUUCAAAGGGCUUUACGGAUAUAAGGUCUUCAUAGCCAUCUCUCUUAUACUUGGGGAUGGGCUUUACAAUUUGAUUAAGAUAGUAUCAAUCUCCGUAAUGGAAAUUUUUAGAAAUAGCAGCAUGGAGAAUAAUAUUCCCUUGGUCAUGGAGGUCAUAGGUGGUGAGAGUUCCAGACUAGAAUUGGAAAAGAAGAAGCGCGAUGAAGUUUUCCUGAAAGAUAGGAUACCAUUCUGGUUUGCUGGAUCUGGAUAUGUUGCCCUGGCUGCAAUAUCUACAGCCACAAUGCCAAUUAUCUUUCCUCCUCUGAAGUGGUAUUUGGUCCUUUGCUCAUACUUAAUUGCCCCUGCCCUUGCUUUCUGCAACUCCUAUGGUACAGGACUUACAGACUGGAGCUUGGCUUCAACUUAUGGUAAGAUUGGUCUCUUUAUUAUUGCGUCACUGGUUGGAAGCAAUGGUGGGGUCGUUGCAGGAUUGGCAGCAUGUGGAGUUAUGAUGUCCAUAGUCUCCACUGCAGCUGAUUUAAUGCAAGACUUCAAAACGGGGUAUCUUACACUUUCAUCAGCUAAAUCGAUGUUUGUGAGUCAGUUGGUGGGAACAGCUAUGGGUUGCAUUAUUGCGCCCCUCACAUUCUGGAUGUAUUGGAAUGCUUUUGACAUUGGAUCUCCUGAUAGUCCAUACAAAGCACCAUAUGCUGUUAUUUACCGAGAGAUGGCCAUUCUGGGUAUUGAGGGAUUCUCCGAACUUCCAAAGCAUUGUCUUGCAUUGUGUUGUGGGUUCUUUGUGGCAGCACUGGCCAUUAACCUCUUGAGGGAUGUCACUCCAGCGAAAGUUUCCCAAUUCAUUCCAAUUCCAAUGGCGAUGGCUGUACCAUUCUAUAUUGGGGCCUACUUUGCAAUUGACAUGUUUGUUGGCACAGUGAUAUUAUUUGUAUGGGAGAAGAUAAAUAAGAAGGAUGCAGAGGAUUUUGCUGGUGCUGUUGCGUCUGGGUUGAUAUGUGGCGAUGGGAUUUGGACCAUACCAUCAGCUAUACUCUCUAUCUUCAGGAUUAACCCGCCAAUCUGCAUGUACUUUGGGCCUUCUGUGCGCACCUGAACAAGUGUAUUUGCAAUUCUUUAUUUACUCUUUAUUAGAAAAAAACUCAGACUGUAAAUUAUCUGUUGUCAAGUAUUUCUUCAAUCUGUUGCACCUGUAAAUGUGUACCCAAUGUUAAGC